AAAAUAUUGACUUGUUGAUCGCUUCGUUGAUCUUGUCGCAAGAUUUUGUUACCGUAAAAAAAUACAGGAUUAAGGAAGGGAUUGUUAGAAUCUACAUCUAUGCAGCAACUUGUCAACGAAUAGUCAAGGUCUUGGCGGAUGUUUUGAGCGCACAGUAACAAACACUGGUCUACGUGUAUCAACACAGGAAAUUACAAGAUACAUGUGUAUUCAUCUGCAGAUCGGAAAGAGGUGCUGAGGAUGUAAAAAAAAGACAUAUUUGGGGGAAAAUGGAGCAGGAAGACGUUGGC
rnacentral:lncRNA from 1 species